UACGUAGGGGGCUAGCGUUAUCCGGAAUUACUGGGCGUAAAGGGUGCGUAGGUGGUUUCUUAAGUCAGAGGUGAAAGGCUACGGCUCAACCGUAGUAAGCCUUUGAAACUGAGAAACUUGAGUGCAGGAGAGGAGAGUGGAAUUCCUAGUGUAGCGGUGAAAUGCGUAGAUAUUAGGAGGAACACCAGUUGCGAAGGCGGCUCUCUGGACUGUAACUGACACUGAGGCACGAAAGCGUGGGGAGCAAACAGGAUUAGAUACCCUGGUAGUCCCUGA
rnacentral:rRNA from 1 species